CCCUGCUGCCCAGGCAAGCUCAGAGAAGUUUGGGUAGGAAUGCCAGUUCCAGUCAGAUGGUGGGCACUACCAUCUCUCCAUGGCUCCAGUUCUGCCUAUGAGCUGGAUGCAGGACUAUGAUGGCUUGUCACCUCUGCCCUGCUUGUCGCUAGAAGGGUAGGCCUCCCUCAGAGUGGCCCUUCAUGGACCCAAAGUCAUUGUUUUGCUUUCAUGCCUGGCACCAUUUUGUAUUGUCAUGUGGGAGGGUGUCACCAUGACAGACAGUCACAGUCUAGCUGGCUUGUACACACAUACAUGUACACACAUACACACAUACACCACACACACAUACCAUAUACACCAUACAGAGACACUUACCACACACACGCACCACACACAGACACAGACACUGUACAGAGACACACACACCACACACACAGACACACACCACACAUACUCAGACACACACCACACAUACACAAACACACAUACCACACACAUACACACAGACACAGACCACACACACAUAUACACAGACCAUACAUACACACACACAUAUACACAGACCAUACAUACACACACACAUAUACACAGACCAUACAUACAUACACACACACACAGACACAUGUACCACAGACACAUACACACCACAUACACACCACACAUACCACACACACAGACACACACCACACAUACACAGACACACACCACACAUACACAAACACACAUACCAUACACAUACACACAGACACAGACCACACACACAUAUACACAGACCAUACAUACACACACACACCACACAUACACAAACACACAUACCACACACAUACACACAGACAUAGACCACACACACAUAUACACAGACCAUACACACACACACACACACACACACACACACACAGACACAUGUACCACAAACAGACACAUACACACCACAUAUACACCACACAUACCACACACAGACACACACCACACAUACACAGACACAUACCACACAUACAUACACAGACACAGACCACACACACACACACACACAUGCACACCACACACACACACAUACCACACACAGACACACACACACACAGACAUACACCACACAUGCAGACACACAGACACACACCCACACACAUACACAUACAUACACAAACACAAACCACACACACAUACCACAUACACCACAUACACCACAUACACACAUCACACACACACACACCACACAGACACACACACAUGAGAUACACAUAUACACAAACAUCUCAUACAGAGACAUAUACCACACAUGCAGACACACAGACACAUACCCACACCAUACCCACACACAUACACAUACACACACAAACACAAACCAUAUCCCCCCCACACACACCACACACAUGGACACACACACACACACCACACUCCUACCACUCCUCACCCUGACCCUCACACCACACACACACACUCCUUAUAGAUUGGGGUCACAAUCCACUGUGGGGCCCCUGGCCUCAUCAUGGCUAUUCCUCUGGGAGUCUAGGGGAUUGGCCCUAGCCUUCCCAGGGUCUAGGCCAUACCCCAUCUGGGCUCCUCUGUCCUUGUCCCCACACUCCACAUUUCCUCUGCUGUCCCGCCUUUCUCUAGCUCUCUUCCAGCUCACUCCUGUCAGUUUAUCAGAGAACUCAGGAUUACUAUGCACCUCGGGUCAGGUGACACAGCAAUCCAUUAGCCGAUGCAGCCUGCAGUGUGCUUUACCAUGUCUGGUGACCCGUGGACAGGGCACAGGGCUUAGGAGGCAGACAUCUUUGGACAUCAUUUGGAUGUCCACCAUCCUGGUAUCCAUUCUGUAACAUGAGGAAUACCAUGUCAGAAGCAAGAGGGUCACACAUGGCUUUCAGCCUGGAGUGAGCACCUCUGAAUUUUAUCUUAAGCCCUACCAGGGCCCCUAUCUCCUGGUCACCCAUCUGUUUAGAGCCCAGAUCUCCUCCCCUACUGGGGACCUUCUGGGUGCCAGCCCCUAGCUCCCCUGUCCCACCAUUUCACAAGCAUUCGUUGGUGUUAGGGCCAUAUUUUAAAGAAGAGGAAAACGAGGGCCAUACAAUGCCUUAAAUGCCAAACUCAGAACUCAGUUCCAGUGAUCGCUGCUCAGGCACUGGGCUUGGCUUGCAGGUGGCUUUACUCUGCAAGGAGGAAACAAGCGAUUCACCCACAACUGUCCAUGGGCAGAAUCAGUUACCAAGAAUAGGGAGGCCCAUAGAAUAAAGCUCUGACCCGUGAGUGCCCACCUUGGAAGGGUAAUUGUUAGCAUUGCUGGGGAUGAGUUUGGGGCCCUCAAGGCUUCUCACAUGAAAAGCAUGGGUUACACUGAAGUGGUUCCGCGCACCUCUUAAGUCUGAUACUCGCAACUUUGCAAACAGGUCUCAUGACCAUCUCCCAGUUCUAGGCAAGGAAAUUGAAGUUCAGAGAUGUUAAGUGACAUCUGAGGUCACACAGCUAUGAGGCAGGUCUGUCUGACUCGUGACCACCCUUUUACCACGAUCCUGCCUGAUCAUUCCUUCAAUGACCAGAUUACCAAGAGACCCCAUGAGGCAGGAGAAUCUGCCCCCAAAGAAGACUGAGAACAACCCAGAAUAGUAAGUAUCUAGGGGCCAGGACUGCCCUGUAAUACCUUCUACCUCUUGUGACCCGGAGGCCAGGCGGAGACCAGUGCACAGAGGGCCUCGGUGGACACUAACCGUUCCACCCACUACCUGGCAGAGACCGUGGAUGCCUUCCAGGAGCAAAAGCUGAAAGAUCUCCAGAGAAUCUUCUCUGACUUCGUGAUCAUCGAGAUGGUUUUCCACGC